rnacentral:lncRNA from 1 species
UUUGCUCUAACUUUAAUUACUUCACCACAAUUACAUUUAAGGGCAAGGCACUUUAGUAGGUUAUCAUUUUGCUCCUCCCAACUGUUUCAAAAGUCAAGUACAAUUUCCCCUGACAAAACGAGUAGUGGAUGGAAUUUUUAGACCAAGAAUUUACAGCAGAGUAGCAUGCAGGGAAUUCAUUAUAGCUGUGAGAAGGAAGGCACUUGAAGAAGGUGACAGUAUUGUUUGCAUGAUAGGUUUGCCUGUUGCAAACUAAGGGUAACUGCUGAACUGGCCUAACAAAUUACAUACAUUUUUCAGUAGCUGAAGAGGAGCCCGCAGCAGGUUCUGGAAGAGGGUCAAAAGGCUGAUUAUAUGAAGUAAAAACCAAAAUGUUAUGGGAUAUGCCGUUAAAAGGCGCAUGUAGCAACACAGUUAUACACUGCUAUUUAACUCAGAUUUACAGGACAAAGGAAUCUAAUGACCCGUAAUUCAGAGCCACAGGGCUUUUAGGAUGGGAGGACUUGAUGUGCCUCUUCUCUGUCACAUGAGGCUGUGCAGCUCCUCCGUUAAGACUGGGUCCUAAGUUUGAAUUUAGCAUUUUCAGUGGGUAGUAUACGUUUAUACCACAUUCAAAUACAGUUUGUUCCAUUGUUUGCAUUUCAGUAUUCUGCCCUAUGAUGAGAUUUUGUAGUAUUAUAUUCUAAGGUCGUAGAUUGUUAACACCAUUUAACAAAAGGCAUCAUCAUCCCCUACAACACUUUAAGUCUGCUUCAGGACUAUUUUAAGGGCUAAAAUAGUGGUGACAACUAGGUCUUGGAAUUGACCACGGUGGAAGAUCUCCAAGGUAACUUUUUUUAAUGUUUAGCGAUUAGUCGAAUAUACACAAGCAAAUAAUAUCAGAAUACGCUUAUUAGAUUUAAAAUGGGACAGGACCAAAACAGGUGAUACUAGUCCAGGAAACAAAGUUGCACUGCUCUCUAGAUUAAAGAAGUUGCCAGGGAAGGAAAGGGACCACAGUGAAAUAAAGAUAAAACUACGUCCACAGCACCUCUGGGUGCUAUGAAAUGAAAACUGAAGGUCUGAGCCAAAGUCUAGUGAAGUUGAUCUCUUCUCUUUUUUUGGGAGGGUGGAGUUGGUCAGACUCAAACUUCUCCUUGGCUGAUUUAAGCUACCUUUAGUGUGACGUAGCUGCAGAACAGAUUCAGCCUAGGACAUCAUUAGAGCUAGCAAGAAACCUAAAGAAAAGAGCAGAAAAGCAUUAACAUAUCGGAAAAUUUCUUUUUAUAUAUUCACGCACACACAUAUAUAUAAAAGUCCAUUGGAGCUUGCUAGCAUUUGCAGUAACAAAUACUGCUAUGAAGAUAUUGCUGCCCAUGUGCACGCUAGCACUGUUGAUCUAUCCUAUUCACACACUAUGUCUCUUUGUCUUUUGUUUUUCUGGGAUUCUAUCAGUUCUAGAAAAUGGACAGUACUCUUAUUGAGUGUCUUGAAUCCAAAAACUCUAUUUGAUAGUCAUUGCAAGCUUCAUGUGCAGCAGUCUUUGUCAAGAAACACAGUGAUCUUUACAUAAACAGGCUGACCUUUGUAACUGGCAUUUUGUCAGGAUCGGCUGAAGGCGGGAGGGGGAGAAAAGAGGGGAAGAGGAGCCUGUGCUACUUGUUGCUGUAAGAGAAAUUGUAUUUUAAGGCAAAGAGGCAAGAUGGUAAGCCUUGCAUGUUUAUAACUGCAUAAUGAAUCAUACAUAUGCAACAGCUACUACACUUGAACACUGCAUUUUUUUCUUUACUAACCAUAAUAUCUUUCCAUUGGUCUUUUUCUCCCCCCUGCUGCAAAGAAAAAAGACAACAAAAACCAAAACAUGCCAAAUCAUAGGUAAUAUCAGAUCACUCCACAAUUCUUUAGUAAAAAA